AGCGUAGACCCCACUCGUUUGCCAUCAACUGUUGCCAGGACAGGCGAUGUCAACGGGGAUGUAUGCGAGCUUCGUCCUGUCACGAGAUAUCCGCGGUGCUUCCAAGUAGCAAGUAUUCGGUGGUGGAAUUCAGAACCCCAAACGACUUAACCAGAGAGAGAGGCUUGAAGAGCGAUGGACGGAGAAUCCGCGGCGACGGCGACGGCGCCGACGCGAUCGGACCAGUGGGGACACCCUGUGAGGACGACCUCCGACGCCUGCAUCGCCGCCGUUGACUCCUACUAUGAGGAGUUCCUCUCCUACGGCCGGAACCGGGCUGUCAUCCUCCAAGCCCUGCUCCACGAUCCCUCCUGUGUCCUCGCCAACGUCCUCGCCGCCCACUUCCUCGCCCCCAAGAACCCCUCCAAAGCUUCCUCCCUCCUCGCCGCUGCCGCUUCCUCCCUCGAGAAUGCCACUUCGUACGAGAAAGCGGUCUUCAGAGCGAUUUCUUGCUUGGUGGGAGACGAGAAGAAUGACGACACUGCCGUUGAGCGACAUAUGGAGUUGCUGAGGGAGUUCCCUAAAGAUCUGGUGUCACUUAAGAGGGCUCAGGUCCUAUGCUUCUACAUGGGUCGGGCUGAUUUAUCACUGAAUCUAGUUGAACAGGUACUGCCACAAAAUGAAGAUCAGAAUUACAUCUAUGGCAUGCUUGCUUUUCCAUUGUUAGAGCUUGGACAAAUGUCUGAAGCUGAGACGGCUGCAAGGAAAGGAUUUGACAUCAACAAGCAUGACUUGUGGUCACAACAUAAUCUAUGCCAUGUUUUUCAGUACAAAUGUUGUUUUAAAGAAGCUGUGGAUUUCAUGGAAGCUUGUUCUUCCUCAUGGAGUUCCUGUUCCUCAUUCAUGUGUACUCACAAUUGGUGGCAUGUUGCUGUUUGUUAUCUAGAAGGUGAUGCCCCACUGCCCAAAGUUCUAGAAGUUUAUGAUCACCAUAUCUGGAAGGAACUGGAACGAAGCGAUGCUGAGCCAGCAGAGGUAUAUCUGAAUGCUCUAGGCUUGUUGAUGCGGGUCUAUGUGCGGGACAACACAAGUUAUAUCGAGGAUAGGUUGUUGACACUAGCAGAUAGACUUGAGGAUAAGUCUAUAUGGCAUAUGGAGUGGUUGCUUGAUCUGUCAGCAUUGUGGGCCUUAGCUAGCACACACAAGGUGCAUAAAGCACAGGACUUACUCAAAUCCAUGAGGUCAAGGAUCUAUUCAGUGAGCAAAAAGAAACAACACAAGAUGCAAAGAGGGAUACUGCUUGCAGAAGCCAUUUACGAAUAUGGAAGGGGCAAUUAUCAGAAAGUAUUUGACAUUCUUGGUCCAAAAUUUAAUGCCAUUGACUUCAAAAUGAUUGGAGCAUCUGAUGAACAACUUGAUGUCUUCAAUGAAGUUUGGUUCGUUGUUUUGUUGAAAGUUGGACAAGCCUCCAAGGCAAUUGAAGAAAUUGAGAAACAAGUUAGCAUGAGGGAUGGGGCACCUUUCUUGUGGCGCUUGCUGGCGACGGCAUAUACCAUGGAGGGCAGACCAGAUGCUUCCGUUGCAGCUGAAAAGGCAAAGGCUCUAGAGCGCGCUUAUUUUAAAUAAACGGACUGGAAUGCCGUUUCCAAGUGGUGAAAGGGUCUGGCUCUUACCAACGUAUGGUUUAGUUUGCUGUGUCUGGUCAGAGGAGAAAACGGAAAGAGAAAUUUUUGUCCAUUGCCUUCGGUGGAGAAAAAGCAUACCACUUUAUCAGAUUUGACUACGCAGCACAAUAUGAGGUUCAGGUUUCCAGACUCCAUUAGGAGUGGAGCACGAAUAUGAUGAAAUAUCACCAUACUUUGACACUAUAGAGGAAGGUCGAGUCUAUGAAUCAAGUUCUGAGUUGUCGCUGAAGGAAACAGUGCAGCAGGAACACGUUUCAGAGAAUGAGCUAAAAAGAGCCGCAGCAUGUUUUACUCUUACCACUGUCGACAUGAACUGACAAGAGUGAAAUCCAUACUUUCAGUUUCAGAUAUUCUGGUUCAUUUGUUUUUUCUUUUUAUUGGAUGCACAACUUUCAUAUACUUUCUACUCUGAGUCAAGAAUCACUACUUGAAAUGUGAAUAAAAUAAGAACACUGGUAUUGACGUA